GGCGUCGUAGCUCAGUAGGUAGAGCAGCGGACUGAAAAUCCGUGUGUCACUGGUUCAAUUCCAGUCGAUGCCACAA
rnacentral:tRNA from 3 species